rnacentral:rRNA from 1 species
GCCCGCGGCACUAGCGCGGUGGUCCCACCUGACCCCAUGCCGAACUUCCAGAAGUGAAACGCCGUAGCGCCGAUGCAGUGUGGGGUCUCCCGCGAGAGUAGUGAACUGCCGCGCAUC